AGAAACUAGACUCUCUCGAGCUGGAGAGAGACAACAUCGCAUCCACAGAGCGCGCAGGAGGCAAGGGAACGAGAACAUCGCGUGCAGGUCACACUCGUGCGCGGUUUUCAUAAAGUAAAGCUCGCGUCUGUGCGCGCACGAACACCGUAAGCAUGCUUUUCAAGGGAUGAAAUCCCCAUCUUGGAAAUUAAACUGCCUGUUCCGUUCUCUGGAUGGCUGAGACGCAAUAUUCGAUGGCCGAAUACUUGAGGACUGCGAGUUUUUUUUGAAUGGGAAAACGCGUCGCCGAAGAGAUGCACCGAAGAGUUUGGCGUUUGGCUAUAGAUGUUUCCACAGAUUUUUUAGCGUCAUGUUCUUGAACGGGAACCUCUAUUUGUCCCCGACACACGGCCACUCGUAGUUUUACUUUCUGACAGUGAGGAAUAUGUGCGUCAAUUGUUAAAAGUCAACUUUAUGAGAUGUUCCACUUUUUACAAAAAAGUUUUGACAGGAGGUAGUUGCUAUCUUUGGUUAUCUAGCUGUAUGAGUGUUUAUCUGCCUUCAUAAAGCUAGAUAACCGAAAGUAGAAAUGUCCUCCUUAACUGCAUACAAGUUGAAUGGGAUGCAAUGAUCGCAGGGAAUCUGCAUGAGCCUCUCAGACUGCAGUGUCUUUGUGAGAGACCGGAGGACUGGAGUUAAGGGAGAAAACGCCAUCUGCUCCCCUCCCUUCAUCGUCAACGGAAGCAUUUAGUGCCAUCUGUGCCCCCGGAGAAAAAAAAAGAGGGGGAAAAAAAGAAAGGAGCGAGAGCCUACAUCCCAAGUGCCAAUGGGGACAAAGAGGCUGCCAGUUGCCACGGACCACCAGAUGCUGGAAGACUGAAUGAGGGGUGUGCUUUCAGGAAGCCAUCUUGAUGGAGAAACUGGCUGCUGCUCCCUAAAAUGGCUGUGUUGGCAUGAGGCUCCUACCAUGGAAAACUGUAUAAAUACCUAUAAAACCACAGUUGUCAUCAGCUGCUGGAGAAACUGAGACCCUAUCCUGCUAUGUUUGACUCAAAUGGUCAAUCUGAUCACCUCAGGAAUCCAGUGUCCAACAUCUCUUCCAGACAGUGCUCUGUGGAAAUUAAACAAGCAGUCAUGAGGGAUAGAUUUAACAUGUGCACUAAUUGAUUUAUCUGGAUAGCAGCCUUCAGACAAUCACUAAUAAUUGUAAUCAGAAUGAUUUGGGCUGUUAAACCAUAUAGAUUUUUUUAAAUUGUGUCAUAUCAAUUGCUCAACAAUGUGCCUUAAUGUGUGAAAUGUUUACAAUGAUGUUUGCUAAUGUUGCAACAUGGCAGUGUCUGAGAAUUUAUAUGUAUUCAAUGUUUUCUUGUCUUAUAUACAUUAUAGUGAACUUUCAUGUUAGAUACAGUUGUGUUUGUAAUGUAGCUACAGCAUAAUAUCUAGACUUUUAUCUGAUUUUGUAAUGUCUAAACAAUGUCUGUACUAAUAAACAUGCAUUAAAUAUGA
rnacentral:lncRNA from 1 species